UCGGCGCUUGUGAAAGCGGAAAGUCGAGCCCAGGACGCCUCUAACAGGCGAGCGGUGGUGCCCCGAGUCCGGUGCUCACCGGACGCGGGCCUAUCAGUCUGGACCUGUUCCGAGUUCACUGGCGAGAUCCUAGCUGGCCUGGGUGGCCCAGCUGUGCAAGAUGACGUGGGGACCCGGGAUAGCUUUCGGAACCUGGAAUUGCGGGCCUGAGACUCGGUGGCUUCCCGUUUAUAUGCUCGGGCCUAGUGGUCUGGCUGCAGUAGAGUCCACAUCAGGAUGACAGCUGGCAGAGUCUUUAUAGAGCAGACGCCAAGUCCCAGCACUAGACACAGGAGAAGAAAACCGAGACUUAAGACUAGCUAGAACAACCCAGCUAAGGCCUUGCUGUAACUGGGAGGUCAUGCGGGCCGCUACUUUUCCAUCCUUCCCCCUGGUGUUCGACAUUGCAGUAGAUCCUUUCAAACCCAGGACUGAAGAAUGAUGGGUUGGCUAGAUGGAAUGAGAUUCGAGGGGUCCCUGUAUGGACCCCUGAGUAUCAGUGUAGGGUGAAAACAAAACCCCAAACAACUCACACCUUGGGUAAGCUUUCACUGAAAGUUUGAACUCUCCAAAUACUGUGCUUGGCCCGGUUCCUGGCUACACUCCUUAUGAGGCUGCCACCACCUGCCACCUCCUCUAGGUAUCUCGGCAUAAGGCAGUUUCCCACUUCCAGGAAUGCCAUUUGAGUAGGAGGGCUAAUAAGGCCUGAAGAAUGUAAAAUUAAAAAUCUGGGACUUUUAAAUUCCAUCCCUUGUUGCCUGAUGUGUGUUCUCUGUGUGUGGUAUGUGGAGGAAUUGUGAAUUUUUAUAUUUGUGUAAAUACAAUCAUGAAGGUGCUGGAGUCCCAAGUGAUUUUUGGCUAUGUGCUCUUCAAAAAGCUAGUAAUGAAUUGGUAAUAUGUUUUUACUUAAACUCAAAUCACCCAUUUUAACCUCAGAGUUGCCCUUUGAAUUCAAGAUUUUUGUUCUUGUUUUACAGGUGACGAGACUGAGACUGAGAGGCUCAAGCCUUGGACACUAUGUCUCGGUGUUGGGACAUGUCCAUUAGAACCACUUUGGUAAUCUCUCUCACCACAGUCAGAAUGGCUGUCAUCAAGGAAGCAAGCAGCAAAUGAGGAUGUAGAGAAACUGAACUCUUACACCCUGCAGGAGUGUCAAUAGUGCAGCCACUUCGGAAAUCAGUAUGGAGGUUCCUCAAAAAAAAAAAUUAAAAAUAAGACAACCAUAUGAUCCAGCUAUGCUGCUUCGGGUAUAUUUCUGAAGGAUUCCAUGUAAGUAUACCACAGAGUAGGUUGCACAUGUGUGCUUUAAUGCAGCAUUUACAAUGGUCAAGAUAGGGAACCAUCCCAUCUGCCCAUCAAUAGAUAAGACAAUGUGGUGCUUAUAUAUGAUGGAAUUUUAUCCAGCUGUAAAGAAGAAUGAAGGCAUGACAUUUUACCAUUAAUUGGAUGCAACUGAAGAUCAUUGUGUUAUAUGAAAUUAGUCAAAGUCUGUCACAUGUGGAAUCUAGAUUUAAACAUAUAUAUGUGUAAGGAGCAGUGUGAGACAGGGAAGAGGCCUUAGAUUGUGGUAAUGGGAAAAAUGAUAAUGGAUGGAAUGCAACUCGAAAACAGAAGAACAGGGGACUGUUGGUGGGGUAAGUGAACAAAAACGGGGGAUGUUCAGUGUGGAAGGGCAGGUGGGAUGGGUGAAUGAGAACAAACUAUAAUGAUAUAUAUGUUUGAAGAAGUCACAAGGAACCCAGGUCUUUGUAAGCUAAGAAAAGCAAAUAAUCAUUUAUUUAUUUAUUGGUGAGCAUGUAGGCUGAUUUCACAGCUUGUCUACAAUAGAUGUGGGCGUGCAGGUAUUUUUAUGGUGAGCUGACUUUGAUUCCUUUGGGUGUAUACCCAACAGUGGUAUAUAGCAAGAUCAUAUGGAUAGCUUUAAAGAUUUUUAGGUUUUGGAGGAACCUUUGUACAGAUUUCAAUAGUGGCUGGACUAAUUUCCCUUCUCCCCUACAAUGCGGAAGUGUUUGUUUUGCUUUGCAUGUUUGCCAGCAUUUGUUGUUGUUGUUUCUUGAUCCUUAUUAUGACUAGGAUGAGAAGGAACCAGUGUAGUUUUUAUUGCAUUUCUUUUCUGGGUAGAAAUAUAGUAUUUUUUACAUGUACUUAUUGGCCAUUUGCAGCUCUUCUUUUGAGAGUUGUCUCUUCAUUUCAUUAAAUAAUCACUUUUUAAGCAAUCAAGUGCAGUUAGGUUUGCUGUAUUAGUAACAAAACAUGCCCAGAUACUUUCUUAAAACACUAUCAUGAAGCACAAUGAAUGAGUAAUAGGUGUAUUUAUAGUGUAUUUAUUUUUUUUUACAGUCAUUGUGUAUUGCUCUACCAUGUUUGCCAAAUUCUCAGACCAUUUGUUAUUUUUCUCCUUGUUACUUUUUAAAAAUAAAAAUUAUUUUAAAAGUG